rnacentral:pre_miRNA from 1 species
CAUGUACUCCCUCCGUUCGGAAUUAGUUGUCGCAGAAAUGGAUGUAUUUAGAUGUAUUUUAAUUCUAGAUACAUCCAUUUCCGAGACAAGUAAUUCCGAACGGAGGUAGUAAGUG